GCUAACGCUGGCGGCGUGUCUUAGCCAUGCAAGUCGAGCGGACUUAUGGGGUAACUUAUAAGUCAGCGGCGGACGGCGGAGUAACACGUAGCUAACCUACCCUCUGGACGGGGAUAACCUACCGAAAGGUGGGCUAAUACCCGAUGUAGUCAUCCUGUAUAGGGGUGAUGAAAGGUGGGCUUCUGUUUACAAGCUCAUGCUGGAGGAGGGGGCUGCGGCCUAUCAGGUAGUUGGUAGGGUAAUAGCCUACCAAGCCGAUGACGGGUAGCCGGCCUGAGAGGGUGACCGGCCCGAGGGGCACUGAGAUACGGGUCCCACUCCUACGGGAGGCAGCAGGCUAGAAAUUUGGGCAAUGGGGGAAACCCUGACCCAGUGACGCCGCGUGCAGGAAGGAGCCCUUCGGGGUGUAAACUGCUGUCGUGUAGGGAGAAGGGUACUAAGGUGAACAAUCUUAGUACUUGACGGUACUACAGGAGGAAGCCCAGGCUAACCUCGUG
rnacentral:rRNA from 1 species